GUCCAGGUCCGCGUGCGGUUUCCGGUUUCUUAUCCCACCCACCCCUGGCGCGGAGGACAGUGGGAAUCGUAGUCUACUUUGUUUAGGGAAGGAGAUUGGCGUAGCCGAGGCCACUUCCGCCGGAAAUGCUCAAAUCCCCGGAAGGCGAGCCAAAUGAGCACUAAGUGAUGCUGGGGGUUGUAGUUUAUUGUUUACAUCGGGGUAAAUUGAGAAGUCUUGGGACACGAGAGGCCAGGCUCUGUGAGGACCUCGAAGAUGCGGGGUUCUAGCUCUAAAGACAAAAACUUCAUGGGGGCAGCAGGAGCUUCAGGGAACUAUGAACAGUGACCUUCUGACACCAAAGGUUGAACUGAAUUAAGCAACUGAGAAGAGGAGUCAAGAGGAGUCUGGAAGAGGGGCCAAGUAGCCAGAGAAGCUUUCGUGGUGGGUUGAAAGGAACACUGGCCUCUCAGGGCAACUUGGAGUUGGGGGUCUGGCACUUACCAGUGGUGUGACCUUAGGAAGAUCAUGACCUCUCUGGACCUUGGCCUGAUCAUUUCAUCCUUCACCUGGAAGAUACGCUGACAAUGCCUACCUUGGAGGAUAUAGGACGCGUCCCCAUCUGACCUGCUCAGGGUCUGCCCCCGAAGCUGUGGUGAUCUGUCUGUCUCUCUCCAUCUUUCUGCCUCGCUGCCAAGCCUCUGCCUCUUCCACCCCAUCAGUUCAGGCACGUAGCUCAGGAGUCCUGCCACUCAGCUCCCUCACUGUCACUCAGGCAUGUCAUUUUUCCAGAAGCUACCAUUCGCGAGAAGGGGUGGCCUUGCCCUUUCCCUGGGAGCCCAGAGGACCAGCCCCACCUUGGCUCCCUCACCCCCUUAGCAAGUGAGACCUUGAGUUCUUCCUCUAAAAAUAUUAAUAAUAAAGAAACAACGCAUUGGACAUG
rnacentral:lncRNA from 1 species